rnacentral:lncRNA from 1 species
GCUCAAUCAGACUCUCACAGGCUGUAGUCAAUGCACUGGGUCUAACUGGUCUAACAACCAAAACUCACGUGCCCUUGGCACAAUCUGAUGCAAAAUAUAGAAAUCUGGGUCCACCGUCAACUACGACGGCACCCGACAGUCCGAAACGGUCUACACACUACUGUAAAACAAACUCGGCAUCCCAACAUGAGCGUAAACUCCUCCUACACUAAUUUGGAUAUCCACCGCAUACGAACAACGGCGAUACAAAAGAAUCA